rnacentral:rRNA from 1 species
GAUGAACGCUGGCGGCGUGCUUAACACAUGCAAGUCGAGCGAAGCGAUUUUAAGGAAGCCUUCGGGUGGAAUUAAAAUUGACUUAGCGGCGGACGGGUGAGUAACGCGUGGGUAACCUGCCUCAUACAGGGGGAUAACAGUUAGAAAUGACUGCUAAUACCGCAUAAGCGCACAGUGCUGCAUAGCACAGUGUGAAAAACUCCGGUGGUAUGAGAUGGACCCGCGUCUGAUUAGGUAGUUGGUGAGGUAACGGCCCACCAAGCCGACGAUCAGUAGCCGACCUGAGAGGGUGACCGGCCACAUUGGGACUGAGACACGGCCCAAACUCCUACGGGAGGCAGCAGUGGGGAAUAUUGGACAAAGGGGGAAACCCUGAUCCAGCGACGCCGCGUGACUGAAGAAGUAUUUCGGUAUGUAAAGGUCUAUCAGCAGGGAAGAAAAUGACGGUACCUGACUAAGAAGCCCCGGCUAACUACGUGCCAGCAGCCGCAGUAA